UACAGAGACUGCAAGCGUUAUUCGGAUUCACUGGGCGUAAAGGGUGCGCAGGCGGCCGUGUGUGUGAGGCGUGAAAGCCCGGGCUUAACCCCGGAAUUGCACCUCAAACUACAUGGCUAGAGCAUUGGAGAGGGUAGCAGAAUUCACGGUGUAGCAGUGAAAUGCGUAGAUAUCGUGAGGAAUACCAGAGGCGAAGGCGGCUACCUGGACAAUUGCUGACGCUCAGGCACGAAAGCCGUGGGGAGCAAAAGGG
rnacentral:rRNA from 1 species